AACGCAACUGGCGCCGGCUUACCGGCAGGCCUGUUUCAGUGUGCUAGGAGAGUAAACUAUCAAUAUCAAAUAUAAUGCGAUUGAGGUACAUUUAUGUUCUUCUUUCAUUAAAUAUGAAGGUGUGAAAGAUGAGUAAUCUCUCACACUGGCAAACGAAGUAGUCAUGCUUGUUCGAGAUCUCGUUUAAACAGUGCUAAAGGAUGUUGCUUAGCUAUAUAUCACAAAUAAUCAAUUAAAUAUCUCCAAAUUUGGCAUCUGAAAUCAGACAAGGAGACCCGCUGAACUUAA
rnacentral:misc_RNA from 1 species